GCUGGUCCAGCUUUGGGAAGCCCCAGGAUUCAGGUUUUGGGCAGCUCCAGGUUUUCCUAAACCUAAUCCAGGUUUUGAGCAGCCCCAGGUUUCUCUAAACCUAACCCAGGUUUCUCUAAACCUAACCCAGGGUUUGGGCAGCCCCAGCCCCAGAUUUCUCUAAACCUAACCCAGGUUUCUCUAAGCCUAACCCAGGGUUUGGGCAGUCCCAGUCCCAGGUUUCUCUAAGCCUAACCCAGGUUUUGGGCAGUCCCAGUCCCAGGCUGAGUCAGGCUCAGGCUGAGCCCUCUGAGUCACUGCAGGGUCCUUGCUGGUGGUGGAGCCUCGGGGAAAUGGAUGGUUUAAAUACUGUGAGAAUCUUUAUCAGCACAGGAAAUGACAGCUCAUUAAAAUACUAACCGUUGAGCCAGUUUAGAUCACUGUCUGGAAAAAAAUUAACCAUUGAAGGCUCAGAGGGCUCACAGGAAGAAAGGUGCCCUGUUGAGACAAGGGACAUGUUAUGCAAAUGAAUCAGCUUUGCUAAUUGGCCGGUGGCAGAAAAAUAUUUCCAUUGGAAUUUAUUUUUCAGUGGUUUUUAAAAUACCUGAAUUCCAAAGAAGUCGAUAUCACCGUGUUGGAGUGAAACUUCUGAGGGAGGGGUGGCUAAAAUACCCUAAAAUACCCUAAAUAUUAAAAUACCCUAAAUAUUAAAAUACCCUAAAUACUAAUAUACUA